rnacentral:rRNA from 1 species
GACGAACGCUGGCGGCGUGCCUAAUACAUGCAAGUAGAACGCUGAAGGAGGAGCUUGCUCUUCUGGAUGAGUUGCGAACGGGUGAGUAACGCGUAGGUAACCUGCCUGGUAGCGGGGGAUAACUAUUGGAAACGAUAGCUAAUACCGCAUAACAGUAGAUGUUGCAUGACAUUUGCUUAAAAGGUGCAAUUGCACCACUACCAGAUGGACCUGCGUUGUAUUAUCUAGUUGGUGGGGUAACGGCUCACCAAGGCGACGAUACAUAGCCGACCUGAGAGGGUGAUCGGCCACACUGGGACUGAGACACGGCCCAGACUCCUACGGGAGGCAGCAGUAGGGAAUCUUCGGCAAUGGACGGAAGUCUGACCGAGCAAGGCCGCGGGAGGGAAGAAGGUUUUCGGAUCGUAAAGCUCUGUUGUAAGAGAAGAACGAGUGUGAGAGUGGAAAGUUCACACUGUGACGGUAUCUUACCAGAAAGGGACGGCUAACUACGUG